rnacentral:rRNA from 1 species
UAGUCUGCAACUCGACUACAUGAAGCUGGAAUCGCUAGUAAUCGCAGAUCAGAAUGCUGCGGUGAAUACGUUCCCGGGUCUUGUACACACCGCCCGUCACACCAUGGGAGUCGGAAAUGCCCGAAGCCGGUGACCCAACCAAAAGGAGGGAGCCGUCGAAGGCAGGUCUGAUAACUGGGGUGAAGUCGUAACAAGGUACC